AUGCAUCCAGACGUGGCAGCCAGGGUAUCAUCUGGUGUGGACACAGUGGCCCAGGAAGGGAGGCAGACUGGGGAUGUGGAUCUCUCGUGGAAACCACCUAAUUCGAGCAAAAGGUCUGCGGUUAAAUCCGGGGGAAAGGGAGGUGGUCACAGAGGCAAGAGACACAGUCAGUGUCUCUGUCUGUCUCUCUUUCUCUCUCCCCCCACUCCCCCUUCCCCCUCCCUCUCUCUCUCUCUCCCCCCUCCCCCUCCCCCCUCUCUCCCUCCCUCCCUCCCUCCCUCCCUCUCUCUCUCUCUCCCCCCCUCCCCCUCCCUCCCUCCCUCCCUCUCUCCUCUCUCUCCUCUCUCUCCUUUCUCUCCUUUCUCUCCCCCCUCUCUCCCCUCUCUCCCCUCUCCCCCUCCUCCCCUCUCUUCCCUCUCUCCCCUCUCUCCCCUCUCUCCCUCCUCUCUCCCUUCCUCUCUCCCUCCCUCUCUCUCUCCCCCCUCCCCCUCCCUCCCUCCCUUUCUCCUCUCUCUCCUUUCUCUCCUUUCUCUCCUUUCUCUCCUUUCUCCCCUCUCUCCCCUCUCUCCCCUCUCUCCCCUCUCUCCCCUCCCCCCUCCCCCCUCUCUCCCCUCUCUCCCCUCUCUCCCCUCUCUCCCCUCUCUCCCUCCCUCUCUCUCUCCUGUCUCUGCUCUCUCUUCCCUCCUAGCUCGUGCUUCUGUAUCCCUGAGCCUGCUGCCAUUGCCAGUUGCUAUCAGAACAUCUGCAAAGCUGAGUCCGUCCUCCCCAAAGGCCACAUCUGCACCAGGGUUCCCACCUUGCAGACAGGAGGAGGUGGCUGAGGCCCAGCCAGCGCCCCCCACAGCCUCGCAGCAGAUGGCUAAAGAGGAAGCCUGGCUCAGCUACACCUUGGGCCCACCAAGAAGGGACCACGCUCAAUGGUAGAAUGACACAUGGGUGCUCUAACGGAUUCUAGUUUUGUGAAGAUGAACAAGCUCUAAGCAGGAGGACUUACGGGAGGUCAGCGGCUGGUGGCCCCGGCAGAGCUAUCAUGGACCUGUUCCAUGAAGAAAGAGACACAGAUCUCUCUGUGGAAAGGUGCAGGCUCUGCUGCAGGAGGAAAAUGGCAACAAGAAGCCCAGCAGGUGAGUUGAUGGGACUCUGUGCAGCCAUCUCGCGUGGCCACCAUGAAGUAUGGACCAGCCCAGGGGAGGGUUUAGUUGAUGGGACUCUGUGUAGCCCUCAUGUGUGGCCACCGUGAAGUAUGGACCAGCCUAGGGGAGGGUUUCAGGUCCGGAGAUCUUAGUUGAGAGCAUCACUGCUCCAGAAAUGACCACAGACAGUGUCAUUCUGAACUCACCGAGGUAUCUGUGGACCCCCGGCGCCAUAGACGUGCUGGAAAAUGGGUUCUGGAGCCCAGGUGGACACCGUUUUCAUCUCAGAUCUUUGGUCCUCAGCACCUGUCCACUCCGACGUAGACGUAUCAGCUCCCUGCAUCUUACUGAGACACAGGAGCCAGAAGGGCCCUGAGGUUUUCAUCACAGUGCUCGCCCCAAGUGCCUCCCAGCUUUGUGUGAGAUGUGGAGGCAUGUGGCUUCAGGAGGUGGGAAAUGGAACAGACAUGCUGCAGAGUCUGACGGGGCGCUGAGCUCCUUCACUGCUCUGCGGAGACAGGCUCGGGCCUCAUCUGUUAUUGGCCAAGGGAAGCAAGGAACCAGGGGAGGUGUGAGGCGUGCACCAGAGGCACCCCUUGAGUUAGGGACGAAAGCCUGGCAGAGCCUGGAGCUAUGGCAUGUUUAAUCUUGGUGCAUGGGUGUCCGCAGGAGCAGAGGGCCCCUCCCAGAGUCAGAUCUGUGGUCUGUCCCGGGCGUCCUCCUGGGCAUCCUGGAGACUCACAACUCCCGGCCAUGGCUGUGGUCUUCUCCCUCUGUCCUUGGGUCCCCCUGCAGUUGCAGACUGGAUUAACCUUGAGGAUGGACAGUGGUGGCCUGGCUGCUGAUUGACAGCCAGGACAGAGCAAAUAUUGACUCCUCACCUCAGGAAAGGGGCCGACGUUCCUUCCGCAGGCACACGCUGACCUUGCUUCCGUGGGAAUCGAUAGAAACCUCUCGAGUCAAUAAAUCUUAAUGUUCCUUUCAACAGAAAUCCAUGCACCUCACUGUUGUUACUUGCCUGGAAUGCCGGGCGGGAGCAGGCCCGGGGUCUGCGCCAGUGAUCAGAGGGUGGUUUAGCCUCAAAGCUUCAUCAGACCCUCCUGACUGAGACGACUAAAGACCCCUCCCCUCGGAGGGUGCUGACAGCACCCCCCAACUGUUCACAGCCCACUGGGCCCAUCCCUAAACCACCUCCUGCCUACAGGAACAGUAUGGGGAGAGAACAAUGGAAAAGCCACGUGCUGUCACCUGCCUGGGACAGAAUCCCUCUUGUCUGCCAGGCAGGUGACUUGACCCAUCCUUUGAGGGAACUUUGAGGAGUAAGACAAACCCUCACUGUGGAAGGCCAGAGGGUCCCCUGUCCUACCUGGAAUGAUCCCCCAGCUCCAUCUGCAGAGCCUCCCCUAGCACAGCCCAGAAGCUGAGAACCAGAGCCCCCAGGAUACAGCGGGAGGGAUACAGACCACUCGGGGGGUUCUGGGACUCGGAACAGCCUGUCUGGAAUUCGAGCAUCGCUAAGAAGGAAGUUGAGGAGCCCUGGAGUUCCUGGAGUGUGGGUCUGUGGUCCUUAAACACAUCCCUUAUAUUUAAAAAUAGCCCUUCCUCUCCCAGCAGCUCUAGAUCCUGCUGGCCAGCCGCGUUGUCAGAUGAGUUCACUGAAAGCAGAGGUCGUCUUCCCAGCCAUGCACCUCUGAAGCCCAAGGAGUUUCCAUGACUUUAACCAGAGACUUGUGCAGCCAGAACUCCUCUAGCGCUGACACGGUUGGGUUUCGUGUCUCAUCCAAAUCUCAUCUUGAAUUAUAAUCUCCGUAAUCUCCAUGUGUCAAGGGAGAGACCAGGUAGAGGGAACUGAAUGGUGGGGGUGGUUUCCCCAUGCUGUUCUCCUGACAGUGAGUGAGUCCUCAUGAGAUCUGAUGGUUUUAUAAGGGGCUCUUCCCCCUUCACUUAGCACUUCUCCUUCCUACUGCCUUGUGAAGAAGGUGCCUUGCUUCCCCUUCACCUUCCACCAUGACUGUAAGUUUCAUGAGGCCUCCCCAGAGCUCUGAGUCAAUUAAACCUCUUUCCUUUAUAAAUUAUUCAGUCUGGGCAGUUCUUUAUAGUUGUAUGAAAAGGGACUAACACAAAUGCCAAAGGGAGGUGAGGCUCAUGGGUUUGGGUCUCAUCAAGCCCUCAUGUUCCCACCACUGCUGUGUGAACAUGGAGGAGUUUGUCUUCCAGCUUAAGCUGGGCCUAUGGGGAUGGUCAUGGGGCCCACAUAACCCAGGACCUGGAUCCGCUCUGAAAGAAAGGGAACAAGUUGUUAAGAAUGACCCUGUCCAACUGUUAACUAGCCAGCACAGACAUAUGACACAGCCCACUAUCGAGGAACGUGGACAGCUUCCCACUGGGACCAUAUCCCAGUCACCCCACUGUGCUGGCCUCUCCUCCCCUGAUAGCACACGGCCCCUCUGGACAACAAGAAGAUAGAGGUGGCUUAAGCCUGGCCAGCUGGACCCCUUCCCAGAGAGUGAGGCUCCCUGGCCUCUCCCUGGCCAGAGAUUGGAAAGCAUGAAUAUGGUCUCAUGGAGAAAAGCAGGUGCAGUGGAGAAAAAUAAAUCCCUGAACAGAGACACAGAAAUGAGAGUGCAUGGAGGGAGGGACACAGAGGCC
rnacentral:lncRNA from 1 species